GGGGAUGUAGCUCAGUUGGCUAGAGCGCUUGACUGGCAGUCAAGAGGUCGUGGGUUCGAGUCCCAUCUUCUCCA
rnacentral:tRNA from 5 species